rnacentral:rRNA from 1 species
AUUGAACGCUGGCGGCGUGCCUAACACAUGCAAGUCGAGCGGUAACAGGUGUAGCAAUACAUGCUGACGAGCGGCGAACGGGUGAGUAAUGCUUCGGAAUCUACCCAAUGGUGGGAUAACCAGCCGAAGGUUGGCUAAUACCGCAUACGUCCCACGGGAGAAAGCAGGGGAUCGCAAGACCUUGCGCCAAUGGAUGAGCCGAAGUCGGAUUAGCUAGUUGGAGGGUUAACGGCCUACCAAGGCGACGAUCCGUAGCUGGUCUGAGAGGACGGACCAGUCACACUGGGACUGAGACACGGCCCAGACUCCUACGGGAGGCAGCAGUGGGGAAUAUUGGACAAUGGGGGAAACCCGUAGAUCCAGCGACGCCGCGUGUGUGAAGAAGGCCUGCGGGUUGUAAAGCACUUUUUAGUGGGG